rnacentral:tRNA from 1 species
GCACCAUUAGCCCAAUUGGCAGAGGCACUAGAUUUAGGUUCUAGGGGUUCUCAGUUCGAAUCUGAGAUGGUGUACCA